GUUUCAUCACAUCUUUCAAGACGUAUGUUUUGUGGUACUUCAAUGCCAGUGCUGAAAGGCAUUUUUACAUACGUACAGUUUAUUUAAUUAUAGUGUUCAUAUUUAUUUGUUAUGUUAUAUAUGUGCAGUUUACAUAUGUUUUGUUGUGGUGCACACCAUUUUAUAGAACCUGCAUCAGGACCCUAUUUGAAGAAACUAAACUUGGAGGGUUAGUUUUGGCUGCAGUGUAGAUACAAGGUGCAUGCUUGUUCUUGUUAGCCUAAAAAAUAUAAAAGGAGCAUUCUGACAUUCCAAUCAAAGGCCCUGGUAGGAAUAUACGAGAAACACACUGCCUUUAUCGAUAACCCAUGUGAAUCAAUCAAAACAACAUAGGCUGUUAACAACGACAUAGUUAUAGUUCUGAAAAUAGUGAAAUGUAUUAGUUUUAACAAACCAAAUAUUUUUACUACAGUAGGCAAGGGCCAUAUAUACUGAAAAGGUCUCAUAUUUUCUUUUCAAUGCUUCUGAAAGCAACAAUAACACCUACCAGAGUCAGUGACAACUACAGUAAUAGUUGACCUGCAU